rnacentral:ncRNA from 14 species
CCAAAGGCUCUUUUAAGAGCCGCACACAGUCAACGAAGAGCUCCA